GCAACUUCUCCUAAUCAUAUAUAAUUGUUAUUCAAUACUUAAUGGAUACGGUCCUCUUUUGGCAACUUCUCUUAAUCAGAUAUUUAUUGUUAUUUAGUACUUAGUGGAUACCUUUUCACAUAAAAGCUUCAUGCACUUUGUAUGGAAAUAUCGUCAAACAUUAUUUGUUAAUUAUUUUAAGAGUAAGCUUAGUCUAAAAAGUACAUAUAUGAAAUUACGGGCGAGUCCAGGAAAUCUGACUGAACUUUUGAGAGAUUUGCAACAAACUUUUGAACUGGCAAUCUCCUUCACUUGAGAGUUCACAUGCAUUUUUAUCUCAACCUCCUUGCUUCUUGUAAAUGCUUCAAUUGGCUAACGAGAAACAUCUGUGCUGCAAAAAUGUAGGAACACACUGAGAUUUCUCUUAAUGACAGAAGGAAAGCAGCUAGACCACGUGGAUCUAAGAAAAGAAAAGAACUUUCUUGUAGGCAAAGUCUUGCAGGUGCUUCUAGUUAUUUUUGUUGUUGAAAGUUUUCUUUUCAUGUAUACUAAAUUGCUAUGCCUUUCCGAUUCCAUUUAUCAUUUAUUUACUUUAAAAUUUGUUUGACAGGGGCUGGUACAUGCUGGACUUCUGGUGUACGACGGAGCAACAGAAAUAGAACAAGGCCAUUGGAAUAUUGGAAAGGAGAAAGAUUUUUACGUGGACGUGUGCAUGAGAGUAAGUAAACUUCUUUUUUUCUUGAUAGUUUGCUGUGCUUAUAUAUACAUGUUUCUUUUUAUUGUUCGUUUAAAUUAAUUCUGUCAUGCAUACAAAGCAUAGUUUUGAUAGUACACUUGAAUUGUUCUGUUAAUUUCUGUUUACUCUUAUGUGCAAGUUUUAAUUGCUGACUAAUGUCUUCAAUGAGAUAGUAGAUUUGUACCAAGCACACAAAUAACUGGGAAUAAGUUCAUCAGAAACUUUACAAUGGUUUGACAAAAAAUAUGUUAGUAACAUUUCUAAUGCUUUGAAGGGUACCAUGAGCAUACCUGUAGCUUAUACCAGUUCUAUUGUUUUUGCUGAUAGGAAAAUCAUAUAGCUAGAUUUUAUCAUGAAUAGAAUCAUUCCUUGAAUGCAAUGUUAUUUACGGCGGGAUGCGCACCAAGGUGCAAGGGUCCCUUGGAGCCUAGGCGAUGAGGUGCGCGCCUCAUCGAAAUGAGGCGAAUUUAUUUAAAAAUUGAAUUAUAAUUUUAUUUAAAGUGCAGCAUUAUUACAUACCUGAGCUUUAAAGUGUAAAAUUAGCCAAUUCCAGGCUCAUAGCAGUUCUGGAACUGAAAUCUGCACCACUGAACUUAAACGCAACAGAUUUAAGUAACAAUUUAACAAUAAGGAAGGAGUAGGAUCAGGAUUAAGGUUAGUAGAAUACUAGAAUCUAGAAUACAUCCACUGCACAUUACAUAGUAAUUAACAACUUAACAUAGAAAUAAGUCCAGCAAAUGUGAUGAAACAAAUUUAGAGGAAAGUAGGAAACUAGCAGU
rnacentral:lncRNA from 1 species